rnacentral:rRNA from 1 species
GACAGAGGGUGCAAACGUUGCUCGGAAUUACUGGGCGUAAAGCGUGCGCAGGCGGCUUUGCAAGACAGAUGUGAAAUCCCCGGGCUUAACCUGGGAACUGCAUUUGUGACUGCAUGGCUAGAGUGCGGCAGAGGGGGAUGGAAUUCCGCGUGUAGCAGUGAAAUGCGUAGAUAUGCGGAGGAACACCGAUGGCGAAGGCAAUCCCCUGGGCCUGCACUGACGCUCAUGCACGAAAGCGUGGGGAGCAAACAGG